rnacentral:lncRNA from 8 species
AUGUGUUUGUUGUCUCGUGAUUUGGUUGGGUCUAAUCUCUCUCUCUCAUACACACACACAAACGCACACACAUGCGCGCACACACACACUCCUCUCACACACACACACACACUCCUCUCUCUCUCACACACACACACACUCCUCUCUCUCUCUCACACACACACACUCCUCUCUCUCUCACACACACACACACUCCUCUCUCACACACACACACUCCUCUCUCUCUCACACACACACACUCCUCUCUCUCUCACACACACACUCCUCUCUCUCUCUCUCUCUCACACACACACACAUACCCUCUGUUUUUGUUCUCUCCACUUCCUCUUUCUACUCUCUCUCUCUCUAGUGCUGUUAUCGCUCUCUUUCUCUUUUCCCCUGAAUCCCUCUAUCCCUCUGUCACCUUGCCCAAGGCUGUUUGAGUGCACUCUACCUCCCCUCUCUCUAUCCCUCCCUCCCUCCAAUUCCUCUCUUGCUCUCUCUAUUUCUCUCAAUGUGAAUCAAUGGCCAAACACUUUAUUCUGUCUAUCGAUUGUCUCAUAUCUAUCGAUUUUUUUUUUUUUUCUUCUUCUCCCCCUCUGUUUGCUCCCCCUUUCUUUUUCUCCUUUCCUUCAUUUCCUGUUCUCUCUUUUCCUCACUUCCUGUUCUGUUCUUUCUCUCUCCAUGUUCGUUCUCUCUCUCUCAUUUCUCUUCCUCCCAUCCUGUUUUCUCUCUCCCCUCUCCCUUUCACACAUUUUAUCUACACCCUCCAGCUCUCUCAUCCCUCCUCUCUCCAUCUCUCUCUCAAAUCCCUCCAUCUCCCUCUUGCUCUCUCUAUCCAUUCCUCCAUCUUUCUCUUUCUCCAUCCCUCUCUCUCGCUCUCUCCCCAUCCAUCUCUCUAUCUAUCCCUCCAUCUUUCUCUCUCUCCAUCCCUCCAUCUUUCUCUCUCUCCAUCCCUCCAUCUUUCUCUCUCUCUCUCCCUCCAUCUUUCUCUCUUCAAUCCCUCCAUCUUUCUCUCUCUCUCUCUCUAUCCCUCCAUCUUUCUCUCCCUCUCAAUCCCUCCAUCACUCUCUCUCCAUCACUCCAUCUCUUUCUCUCUCUGGAAAGAGGAGACAGAGGUCUGUGAGACAGAGAUUUAAUCGUUGA